rnacentral:rRNA from 1 species
AGUGAACGCUGGCGGUAGGCCUAACACAUGCAAGUCGAACGGCAGCACAGUAAGAGCUUGCUCUUACGGGUGGCGAGUGGCGGACGGGUGAGGAAUACAUCGGAAUCUACUUUUUCGUGGGGGAUAACGUAGGGAAACUUACGCUAAUACCGCAUACGACCUACGGGUGAAAGCAGGGGAUCUUCGGACCUUGCGCGAUUGAAUGAGCCGAUGUCGGAUUAGCUAGUUGGCGGGGUAAAGGCCCACCAAGGCGACGAUCCGUAGCUGGUCUGAGAGGAUGUUCAGCCACACUGGAACUGAGACACGGUCCAGACUCCUACGGGAGGCAGCGGUGGGAAUAUUGGACAAUGGGCGCAAGCCUGAUCCAGCCAUACCGCGUGGGUGAAGAAGGCCUUCGGGUUGUAAAGCCCUUUUGUUGGGAAAGAAAAGCAGCAGGUUAAUACCCCGCUGUUCUGACGGUACCCAAAGAAUAAGCACCGGCUAACUUCGUG